rnacentral:siRNA from 1 species
UGAAGCAAACUAAAAGACUCGGC